AAUACACGAAACGAGAAUCAGGAAGGGCCUCAUCAGAGGCGAUUUUUGGUUUUUCCCCACAGUGGGGCCGCUGGGUUUUACCCACAGUUUUCGGCUCAUCCACCAGUUCUUUUGCUCCGAUUUAUCCAUGGGAGUGUUCAAAAUCAAAUUUCGAGCGAAUGAAAAGAUUUUUACCUUCUUAAGCGGUCGAAGGUGGCUUUGGCGUUGCGACAGGUGGUGGUCGACUCCCUUCUCC
rnacentral:lncRNA from 1 species